CAGCCUCUGAUGAAAUUUAUCUUGAUAGGGACAAUAGUGUUGAUGAAUGCCAAGGACUCUAAUGGA
rfam:Gorilla gorilla gorilla genomic chromosome, chrX, whole genome shotgun sequence